rnacentral:lncRNA from 1 species
AUCCUAACACAAAUCAUGAAUUCUAUUUUUACAAAAUCACAAACACAUGCCAUCAUGAUCAGAUCUAAAUCUAAACUUCAUCUCUCGAGUUCAUAUAGAUUAUCACGAUAAUUGUUAGCUAGUCAAUUAAACAAUUAAGUCCAAAUCACAAUAGGCAAUCCUCACAAUAGAACAUAAUAAUUGAUAGCGAAGCAUAUUAAAAUAAACAACAUAAUAAGAUCCAUUGUAAUCUCAAACAAAGAAUUAGUUUAUUGAAUUAAGACUAAGAAUCUACACUUGAAUACACAUUAAAAGACAAAAUAAGAGUAGAGUAAAGAAUAAAUCUGUUGUCAGCAAAUCUCCAUCUUCCUCAAACUCCUGUUCUUGAUCUUCAAUGGUCUCCAAGUUGCUUCAAUCUCCAAAUCUUAUAAGAACUAGGGUUUUGCUCCUAAUCUACUCUAAUAUAAUCUAAUGGAAUCCUCCAAAACUAGCCUAUACAUCCUCUCUUUUAUGCCUCUCAUCAUGUAUUUAUAGUUCUAAUGGAUACCCUAGCAAGUUAGGCAACUAAGAAUCCUAUUCUAGCUCAAAUUGGACACCAAAUAACCCAAAUCAGCUGUUUCCCCACCGAUCAGCGCGCCCCGCGCCGUUCCUAGGCCAUUUUGGGCGCGCCCCGCGCUACAGUGGCAGAGAUUCUGGUGGCCCAGUGCGCCUCGCGCCGUUUCUGGCGCAGCCCGCGCUACUCUAUUUUCUACUGCAACGUCCUUUGGUAAAACUGUCUUAACUUUUGAUCCUAUAGGAGUUACGGGGCCUACCACCUAUCAAAUCGAAGAUAUCGACGAGAUAUAUAACUUUCAUUCUUUGAGGAUUGACAGAUUUCGUCCGGAUCAAGGCGAAAAUCAAACUUGAAGUAGAUGUUAUGUAAAUGGCAAGCAUGACAACUCUUAACUUUGAUCUUUGUUGAUAAAAAAAGCCAUAACUCUCGCAUCCGAACUUCAAUUGGGAUGAUUCAAGAUGUUCCGAAAAGCUAAGAAGUAGAUCUAAAAUAAAAUAUAAGUUCCAAGCCAAGAACAUGCAUCCAACUUGGUGUUAAAAGUCCUUCAAUAUUCCCUUCUUGCAUUUGCUUGCGUAUUUUAGUCCAAAAGAUGUCCGAAUUACUUUUCCUUGCUUCUUCAUGCCAAUGUCAUGUCAUAGCCUACAAAAUAACAUAACAUGUAUGAAAUGCACACACCAUGCAUGCAAAGUAACUACAAAACAUAUGUUUAAACAACUAAUUCAAGUAAUAAAUACUGGAUAAGUAGGUAUUAAACCUACUUAUCAUUGUUCCAAUUUACUGUGUUAUUCUUCUUGUUAAUUCUGCUCCAUAUUCCAACAAUUCUUGCUUCUCAUUAUCACAUCAUAAUUAAAUAUAUUAAUCCCACAUAUUUCCUGCUAUUGUUGCUUAGGGCAUACUCAUACACAUGCUCAUAACUUCUCAUUGCAAACAAAACAGCAUGGCAUGAUCGCAGUGCGGCGCGACCGCACUGCAUCUAAGCCUUGAGAGUGGCGCGGACGCGCUACUCCCUGGCCAAAACAGAACUGAGAUUUUACGAUCCCUAAUUGACUUCUAGCAUGUCCCAAAUCAUAAACAUGACAUGCAUCACAUAAUAAAGAUGUCUAUACAAGCUUUGAGUUUUAUUCAACAAAUAUCAAACUCGAUUUCUAAAAUUAUAAAGUUUUACAUUUAAAUUCUUUUUCAAUUAUCUUAACUAACUCAUUUCCUCAAAGAUUUAAUUAUGUUCACACAUAAGCAUCACCUUAUUGUUAUUGAAAUCCCAGAUCAUAAUCACACACAUCAUUCAAAUGACAUCACUUAAUCAUAUACUUUAAGUUUUUCAAAACUUUAUUAGUUUUCUUUUGAAAACUUAAAUCAAACCAAGUUACCCAAGCCUAUAACAUGCAUAGCAACUUAGAACAUAUUACAAGACAUCUCUAUAGGCAUAUAAGGUCUCCAAAACUGAGGCCCUGCGCGGCAGCGCAGGUUUUGUAAAGAGAAGUGGCGCGGCCGUGCCACUUCGAGUUCAGUUCAGGAAUAAGCUCUGUUCGGCAGAGCUCAAAAAUAAACACAUAAAUCCGUUUGGCAUGCUUCCUAAAAUGACAACUCAUCACUCCAGACAUGCAAAACAUCAUUCUUAUCUAUUUCAAAUCAUCAGCUAUUCAUACAUACAAUCAAUUCUUAUGAUCUCCCAAGUUUUGAAAUCAAAUACUUAUUUUAACCUUAUAUCAUUUAAUUUGAAAAUAUGAUUUUGAAACCUUCAAAAUUUCAAAAUUCACAGAAUAAAUUCAAGACCAGAUUUCAAUUGAAAUCAUUCUCUGUAAUUACAGCCCAAAAUUCCACAUAUACCUAAAUCAUGAAAUAAACAAUACCUCUUAGUAUGUCUGCAGAUUCUUUGCUUUAAUACUUCAAUUACUUCAUCCGAAUCUUCAGGUCUUGAUUCUAACUCUUCUCCUUCUUAAAACUUUGCUAAUUUAGCUCUAAUUACUUUAACAGAUUUCCUAGCUAACUAUGUAUAGCAGGAUCUUAGAGAAAGAGAAAAAAAAAUGAGAUCGCUGAGAUUUGGCUUAGUAGUUAUAGAGAGAUUAUUCCUUGUUCAUUACGUUCUUUAGCCUUGCUGAGUAUUAAAGCUACUUGCUCAUAUAAACUCCCAGCUCAAGCUUAAUCAACUGACUCGUUG